rnacentral:lncRNA from 1 species
UACCUUACCAUGCAUUGCAGGGAUAGUUGAUGGUGUAGCGGCACCCCAGUAAUCCAUGCCGAUAUUUAAGUUAGUGGUGUGAGGAACACCACUCACAACCCCAGCUGUUGCCAUUGGCAUGAUAGAACGAGUUCGAUUCACUUCUGAAUUAGGUGUAUUUGGUCCUCCAUUCUGGGAACCAUGACCAGCAUUUCCAUUCAGAGAUGUUUCAGCUGUAGAAGAGUUAUAAAGUAAGGUUUGUAAUCAGAACUUAUGAAAAAGGUAGCGACAGCAAUCGAAGUACAAAUUCCUAGAACCUCACCAGAAUCUUGCAGGCCUCCGGACUUCAUUUGAAUACAGAAAAAAGCCUAUACUCUCGAGAUAAGUAGCUUCUAAACUACCUAAUUACCAACCAAAAAUACAUGAUAAACCAAAUCAAUUCGCUUUACCCUCGAGAUAAGUAGCUUCUAAACAACCUAAUAACCAACCAAAAAUACAUGAUAAACCAAAUCAAUUCGCUUCCUCAAGAAAAAUAGACAAUGGGUUUUAGCUGGCAACUUUUUUGCAUCAUGCAUCAACUACCAAUUGGUGAAAAUUGAGUAAAUCUUUAACUCUAAAAUAUAUCACAGAAAAUCACAAUUUGUUUCAAAUGUUUACAUCCACUCAACCUCAGUAUUUAGCAUGCUGAUAGACCAAAUAUCAGUAAAAGCCAUGAAACAAGACUAGACACAAAGAUCUGAAGCCUAACAGCAAAUCAAUUAGAUCACAAGCCCAUGACCCACGUCAUCUCAAUCUAAAAACCAGAAAAACAAGGAAAUGCAAUUCAGUAAAUGGUAAAGAAGGAGAAAGGAAGACCUGUAUCCAAAGCUGUGACUGAACAUUUUCCCGUGAUCCAGUAGUGACCAUUCCUCCAGCACCAAGAGAGGGUACCUUACCAUGCAUUGCAGGGAUAGUUGAUGGUGUAGCGGCACCCCAGUAAUCCAUGCCGAUAUUUAAGUUAGUGGUGUGAGGAAUACCACUCACAACCCCAGCUGUUGCCAUUGGCAUGAUAGAACGAGUUCGAUUCACUUCUGAAUUAGGUGUAUUUGGUCCUCCAUUCUGGGAACCAUGACCAGCAUUUCCAUUCAGAGAUGUUUCAGCUGUAGAAGAGUUAUAAAGUAAGGUUUGUAAUCAGAACUUAUGAAAAAGGUAGCGACAGCAAUCGAAGUACAAAUUCCUAGAACCUCACCAGAAUCUUGCAGGCCUCCGGACUUCAUCUGUGAGUCCUGUACAUAACAGAACAACAAUCAGAACUGAGGAAAAGUUCAAAUGGGAAGUUUAAUUAGUUGAUCAACAUUAUUUUUUGUGAUAGUCUGCUAACUAUUUUUUAAUUUUAUUUUUAUUUUUAUUUUUAUGGGGAAUGGACAUCUUUAUAGUUGACAGUUUUCCAGAACUGAGAUCUCAAUCCGUGAAGCUUAAACUCCAGUGGGUACCUUACCAUGCAUUGCAGGGAUAGUUGAUGGUGUAGCGGCACCCCAGUAAUCCAUGCCGAUAUUUAAGUUAGUGGUGUGAGGAAUACCACUCACAACCCCAGCUGUUGCCAUUGGCAUGAUAGAACGAGUUCGAUUCACUUCUGAAUUAGGUGUAUUUGGUCCUCCAUUCUGGGAACCAUGACCAGCAUUUCCAUUCAGAGAUGUUUCAGC